GACGAACGCUGGCGGCGUGCCUAAUACAUGCAAGUGGGACGCAAGGGAACACACUGUGCUUGCACACCGUGUUUUCUUGAGUCGCGAACGGGUGAGUAACGCGUAGGUAACCUGCCUAUUAGCGGGGGAUAACUAUUGGAAACGAUAGCUAAUACCGCAUAAUAUUAAUUAUUGCAUGAUAAUUGAUUGAGAGAUGCAAGCGCAUCACUAGUAGAUGGACCUGCGUUGUAUUAGCUAGUUGGUAAGGUAAGAGCUUACCAAGGCGACGAUACAUAGCCGACCUGAGAGGGUGAUCGGCCACACUGGGACUGAGACACGGCCCAGACUCCUACGGGAGGCAGCAGUAGGGAAUCUUCGGCAAUGGACGAAAGUCUGACCGAGCAACGCCGCGUGAGUGAAGAA
rnacentral:rRNA from 1 species